GAUGAAGAACGUAGCGAAAUGCGAUAAGUAGUGUGAAUUGCAGAAUUCAGUGAAUCAUCGAAUCUUUGAACGCACAUUGCGCCCCUUGGUAUCCCGAGGGGCAUGCCUGUUCGAGCGUCAUUUCACCACUCAAGCCUGGCUUGGUGUUGGGCGACGUCCUCUUUGGGGACGCGCCUCGAAACGCGCGGCGGCGUGGCACCGGCUUUAAGCGUAGCAGAAUCUUUCGCUUUGGAAGUCGGGGCCCCGUCUGCCGGAAGACCUGCUCGCAAGGUUGACCUCGGAUCAGGCAGGGAUACCCGCUGAACUUAAGCAUAUCAAUAAGCGGAGGA
rnacentral:misc_RNA from 1 species